CAUGUUCAGCGUGGCAUUUCGGAAGGCUUGUCAGGGGUGGAGAAGCGGGGCGGGUUGCUGUUCUUUCACCUGACACUAAAGCGCCAUGCCGGAAGCACUGAGUCUGAUACGUCGGAACCAGUCUCCACCGUGUGGUUUGGUCUUGAUUUCCACUGGUACUCUGGGGUCUUGGAUAAGUCUCUGGACCUCGCCUUUGUCAUUUGCGAAGUCGAUAGGUUCCAAUAGAGAUUUUCCCAGAAUCAUUCAACUAAAAAUAGAGAACUUUUUUUUUUUGAGAGGAAGGACGGGGGCGCAGUUAAAGAUGUUAAUGUUAAGUCAUCCCUUCUGUGAUUUCGGGACAUUAUCUUUGCACGCCAUGUGAAGAUGUGCUUGCUUCCUUGUCACCUUCCGCCAUGAUUGUAAGUUUCCUGAGGCCUCCCAGGAAGCAGAAGCCUGUACAGCCCACAGAACCAUGACCUGAUGAAAUCUCUUUUCUUUAUAAAUUACCCAGUCUCAGAUCUUGCUAUGCUUGUCAUUGUGUAAGCAGCAAACUUGCAGUGACCAGUUGGAUUCCACCCCCCUGAUGUUGGUGGUGUGCUCUUGGGGAGAUGUCUUCCAGACAGGCAAAGAAGAGUGACAUCAUCAGAGCAUGGACGACCUCAAAGAUAUUCCAGCUAUGCUCCAGAGAGAGCCAUCCUGAUGGAACCUACUGACCAGGGGGACACAAAAGAAAAGAGGGAGGAGAUGAAAGAAGGUGAGGGUCUCUAUUGCCAGCAGAACUGGACUGUGUGUUUAACUGGAAAGCUGAUGGAGAAUGUAGUUAGGCACAGCUCUCUGGACCCUUCUAGUGAAAUAAAGAACUAGUUAAAUAAGGCAAGACAGAAGAAUGAGGCUGCCAUCUAGAUGUAGUAACAGGUAAUGUUCCAGGGCACAAGGGAGCCAAAGGAAGAGAGUUUCUUCACUUUUUAUUCUCUGCAGUCUUCAUACAUAAUAAUGAUCUCAUUCCUCUAUAUUAGUCAAGAUCUUCCCAUUAUAAGUGACGAAUUAUAACCAGAUUAAACCAAAAAGUAAAAUAAUUUAUUGACUGAUUGAUAUGGUUUGGAUUUGUGUCCCCGCCCAAAUCUCAUGUAGAAUUGUAAUCCCCAGUGCCAGUUGGAGGUGGGUCCUGGUGGGAGGUGAUGGGAUCAUGUGGGUGGUUUCUCAUGGUGUAACGCAAUCCACCUUGGUGCUGUCGUCACGAUGGUGAGUCCUCAUGAGAUCUGGUUGUUUCAAGGUGUGUGGCACCUCACCUCUCUCUCUCUCUUCUCCUGCUCCCACCACGUGAGGCACCUCUCUCCCCCUUUGCCUUUUGCCAUGAUUGGAAACUUCCUGAGGCCUCCCCAGAAGCAGAAGCCCCUAUGCUUCCUGCACAGCCUGCAGAACCAGGAAACAAAAGGAGGGUGUUAGAGGAAAAAGAGGGAAACCCACUGACAGAGAGGAAGGCUGAAGAGAUCCCACCGCUGACUUGGACUAAGGAGAGAGAAGUCAAAGAGUGGUUACCUGGAUGAGGUGGCUGAAUAUGGGCCUGCUCUUGUCACUUUGGAUGUCACAACUAGCCUUGAGAAGAGCUGCUGUUCCAGGAGUCUGUCACAACUAGCCUUGAGAAGAGCUGCUGUUCCAGGAGUCUGUAGCCAAGGACGUACAGCAGUGGAGGCUGACUCAUCGCAUAGCUGAGUGACCAAUUGCUUGGCAUGAGUUUACUUUAAUGGCUGUUUCUGAGUUUGAUCCCUCUCCGGAACCAACCCCUCUGAUGUGUCCUGUUCCAGCAGGAAGAGACAGACCUGGAGGUUCUGUACUUGUGAUUUCUGGUUGUGGAUCCUGAGAACAAGAAGUACUGGGAUCCUAAAGUUCUGACAUUUGCAAAGCAGAUUAAUGACCUACCACAUUCCAGAUCAUUUGGUGAUUUUGUGUGUGCGUGUGGGUGUGUGUGUGUGUGUGCCAAAUUCAAGGUGGUCCCAGCCUUUCUAGUCUUCUCUAACCUUUCUUCUCAGAAGUCGCACCUGUUCUGUCUUUCUAGGAUAUAAUUUUUUUUCUAUUAGCCUGGGUAACACCCCAACCAAUAAAGUUUGCAAUAUCCAAGCC